AAAGAGCUCGUAGGUGGUUUGUCGCGUUGUUCGUGAAAUCUCACGGCUUAACUGUGAGCGUGCGGGCGAUACGGGCAGACUUGAGUACUGCAGGGGAGACUGGAAUUCCUGGUGUAGCGGUGGAAUGCGCAGAUAUCAGGAGGAACACCGGUGGCGAAGGCGGGUCUCUGGGCAGUAACUGACGCUGAGGAGCGAAAGCGUGGGGAGAGAACAGGAUUAGAUACCCUGGUAGUCCACGCCGUAAACGGUGGGUACUAGGUGUGGGUUUCCUUCCUUGGGAUCCGUGCCGUAGCUAACGCAUUAAGUACCCCGCCUGGGGAGUACGGCCGCAAGGCUAAAACUCAAAGAAAUUGACGGGGGCCCGCACAAGCGGCGGAGCAUGUGGAUUAAUUCGAUGCAACGCGAAGAACCUUACCUGGGUUUGACAUGCACAGGACGCCGGCAGAGAUGUCGGUUCCCUUGUGGCCUGUGUGCAGGUGGUGCAUGGCUGUCGUCAGCUCGUGUCGUGAGAUGUUGGGUUAAGUCCCGCAACGAGCGCAACCCUUGUCUCAUGUUGCCAGCGGGUAAUGCCGGGGACUCGUGAGAGACUGCCGGGGUCAACUCGGAGGAAGGUGGGGAUGACGUCAAGUCAUCAUGCCCCUUAUGUCCAGGGCUUCACACAUGCUACAAUGGCCGGUACAAAGGGCUGCGAUGCCGCGAGGUUAAGCGAAUCCUUUUAAAGCCGGUCUCAGUUCGGAUCGGGGUCUGCAACUCGACCCCGUGAAGUCGGAGUCGCUAG
rnacentral:rRNA from 1 species